rnacentral:rRNA from 1 species
GACGAACGCUGGCGGCGUGCUUAACACAUGCAAGUCGAACGGAAAGGCCCUGCUUUUGUGGGGUGCUCGAGUGGCGAACGGGUGAGUAACACGUGAGUAACCUGCCCUUGACUUUGGGAUAACUUCAGGAAACUGGGGCUAAUACCGGAUAGGAGCUCCUGCUGCAUGGUGGGGGUUGGAAAGUUUCGGCGGUUGGGGAUGGACUCGCGGCUUAUCAGCUUGUUGGUGGGGUAGUGGCUUACCAAGGCUUUGAUGGGUAGCCGGCCUGAGAGGGUGACCGGCCACAUUGGGACUGAGAUACGGCCCAGACUCCUACGGGAGGCAGCAGUGGGGAAUAUUGCACAAUGGGCGGAAGCCUGAUGCAGCAACGCCGCGCGCGGGAUGACGGCCUUCGGGUUGUAAACCGCUUUCGCCUGUGACGAAGCGUGAGUGACGGUAAUGGGUAAAGAAGCACCGGCUAACUACGUG